UACGUAGGGUGCAAGCGUUAAUCGGAAUUACUGGGCGUAAAGCGUGCGCAGGCGGUUCUAUGAGACAGAUGUGAAAUCCCCGGGCUCAACCUGGGAACUGCAUUUGUGACUGUAGAGCUGGAGUGCGGCAGAGGGGGAUGGAAUUCCGCGUGUAGCAGUGAAAUGCGUAGAUAUGCGGAGGAACACCGAUGGCGAAGGCAAUCCCCUGGGCCUGCACUGACGCUCAUGCACGAAAGCGUGGGGAGCAAACAGG
rnacentral:rRNA from 1 species